UGUAACCGACAUUAUGUAACAUCUCAAUAAAAAUGACAUAGGUGAUGAUGUCGCUUAUAAGCGACACUAGAUAUAUUAAAAAUAAAAAAUUUAAUAAAUCUUCCUCAGUUUUUAAUUAAGAGGUGUGUUCUCGUGCUCCUUGACCGGUUUAUCAGUAUACUGUUUUUUUUUUUUUAAUUUAUUUCUAUACUCCUUAUGCGCAUGCUCCGCAAUAUGAAGUGUCAUGUGACGGAUCAUUGGCAUUUUCGUCAUAUCCUCUUCUUGAAAAAUAAUAGUUUCCUAUACUCAUAAAAAAAAUUCAAGCAAAUUAAUUAUUACUAUAAACAUUGACUUAUUAUACACUCUUCAAGUAACAAAAAAUAUUUAUACCUUUAUUCUAUUCCAGAAAGCUUCCAUACGAUAUUCCUUGAUCAUACGCCAAUCUCUCACCAACGGAAUAUUUCUAUAAUCUCUAACCUCCGCCGCUACAUGUUUUGAAAAAGCACUAGAAUUUUCACUAAUGCAUUUUCCAGAAGCAUCAAAAGAACAAGGUUGUUCCUUCCAAUUGGGAAUUGAGGGUCCCCGUCCUCGUUGAGUUGAUCCUUAUAAAUACAGAAAAAAACAAUUAAAACCAAGGACCAAAAAACAAUUUUCAAUUUGGGCAUCAUACUAGUUAGACUACAAAACAAAAUACUAAAACUAAUAACCAUAAUUAAAAAUGGCCCACCAUAGACUUCUUCCUCUUCGAAUUAGAUUUCGUCAUCAUGAUCAUCUUCAAAAUUAUCUAUAGCAAAACAAUCUGCAAGAAGAAGUACAAAAACUAAAAAGUGAAAAGGGAGAUGAAAUGGAAGUACAGACGAAAUUGGAGGGAGAAGGAGAGAUUGAAAUUUGGGAAAAAAUGAAAGCACAGAUGAAAUGGGGGGGAAAGGGGGUUUAAAUAUGGAUGU
rnacentral:lncRNA from 1 species